CAAAGUGGAAAUCAACACAUUCGAAAAGCAUCAACAAAUAACACAAAUGACAAUCACAAAAUACAGUAAAAGCCACUUGAUUAAUUUAGCAUGCAGCCUCUUUUUCCUUUUCCUUUUCCUUUUCCUUUUCUUCAUCUGUCUUGGGGUGGUAACCAGGCAGCUUCUCCUUGAUCUUAUCCAAGAAUCCCUUCUUUUCCUUGCCCUCCGCCUCCGGAGUGGCGCCGUACUCGUGGGCCACCGGAGCCGGCGGCGGCGGUGCCGACACAACCUCCUCCGUCUUCUUGCCGCCUGGGAGCUUGUCCUUGAUCUUGUCUAGGAAGCCUUUCUUCUCCUCAUGCUCUUGAGUGGGUACGACGUCGUCGUACUUCUCAACCGGAACCGAUGUGUCUACGCACUUAACCUCUUCUUCUUCCUUGUCUCCUGAUACUUUCUCCACGACCUUCUCCUUCAAACCCUUCUUUUUCUUCU
rnacentral:lncRNA from 1 species